rnacentral:rRNA from 1 species
GUGAGGAAUAUUGGUCAAUGGGCGGGAGCCUGAACCAGCCAAGUCGCGUGAAGGAAGAAGGAUCUAUGGUUCGUAAACUUCUUUUGCAGGGGAAUAAAGUGCAGGACGUGUCCUGUUUUGUAUGUACCCUGAGAAUAAGGAUCGGCUAACUCCGUGCCAGCAGCCGCGGUAAUACGGAGGAUCCGAGCGUUAUCCGGAUUUAUUGGGUUGAAAGGGUGCGUAGGUGGUUUGAUAAGUCAGCGGUGAAAGUUUGCAGCUUAACUGUAAAAAUGCCGUUGAAACUGUCGGACUUGAGUGUAAAUGAGGUAGGCGGAAUGCGUGGUGUAGCGGUGAAAUGCAUAGAUAUCACGCAGAACUCCGAUUGCGAAGGCAGCUUACUAAGCUACAACUGACACUGAAGCACGAAAGCGUGGGGAUCAAACAGGAUUAGAUACCCGUGUAGUCC